rnacentral:rRNA from 1 species
GACGAACGCUGGCGGCGUGCUUAACACAUGCAAGUCGUACGGUAAGGCCCUUUCGGGGGUACACGAGUGGCGAACGGGUGAGUAACACGUGAGUAACCUGCCCACAACUUUGGGAUAACGCUAGGAAACUGGUGCUAAUACUGGAUAUGUGCUCCUGCUGCAUGGUGGUGGUUGGAAAGCUCCGGCGGUUGUGGAUGGACUCGCGGCCUAUCAGCUUGUUGGUGGGGUAGUGGCCUACCAAGGCGGCGACGGGUAGCCGGCCUGAGAGGGUGACCGGCCAUAUUGGGGCUGCGAUACGGCCCAGACUCCUACGGGGGGCAGCAGUGGGGAAUAUUGCACAAUGGGCGCGAGCCUGAUGCAGAAACGCCGCGUGCGGGAUGACGGCCUUCGGGUUGUAAAACGCUUUCAGCAGGGACGAAGCUUUUUGUGACGGUACCUGCAGAAGAAGCACCGGCUAACUACGUG